GAGGCAGCAGUGAGGAAUAUUGGUCAAUGGACGAGAGUCUGAACCAGCCAAGUAGCGUGAAGGAUGACUGCCCUAUGGGUUGUAAACUUCUUUUAUAUGGGAAUAAAACGUUCCACGUGUGGAAUUUUGUAUGUACCAUAUGAAUAAGGAUCGGCUAACUCCGUGCCAGCAGCCGCGGUAAUACGGAGGAUCCGAGCGUUAUCCGGAUUUAUUGGGUUUAAAGGGAGCGUAGGUGGAUUGUUAAGUCAGUUGUGAAAGUUUGCGGCUCAACCGUAAAAUUGCAGUUGAAACUGGCAGUCUUGAGUACAGUAGAGGUGGGCGGAAUUCGUGGUGUAGCGGUGAAAUGCUUAGAUAUCACGAAGAACUCCGAUUGCGAAGGCAGCUCACUGGACUGCAACUGACACUGAGGCUCGAAAGUGUGGGUAUCAAACAGGAUUAGAUACCCUGGUAGUCCACACAGUAAACGAUGAAUACUCGCUGUUUGCGAUAUACAGCAAGCGGC
rnacentral:rRNA from 1 species